AAACCAUGCAUAGGACAUUUCUGUAGUAAGUCUUUAAACCUUUCACAUGCUUCAUACAAGUUCUCAUCCUCUAUUUUCUUGAAACAUGUGAUGUUUAUCCUCAAUCU